UACGAACUGUGCAAACGUUAUUCGGAAUCACUGGGCUUAAAGGGUGCGUAGGCGGCCAGCUAAGCAGGGUGUGAAAGCCCCCGGCUCAACCGGGGAAUAGCGCCCUGAACUAGCGGGCUGGAGUGAGAUAGGGGUGUGCGGAACUUCCAGUGGAGCGGUGAAAUGUGUUGAUAUUGGAAGGAACGCCGGUGGCGAAAGCGGCACACUGGGUCUCAACUGACGCUGAGGCGCGAAAUCUAGGGGAGCAAACAGG
rnacentral:rRNA from 1 species